GAUGAACGCUAGCGGCAGGCCUAAUACAUGCAAGUCGAGGGGCAGCGCGGUAGCAAUACUGGCGGCGACCGGCGCACGGGUGCGUAACACGUAUGCAACCUACCUUCAACUGGAGGAUAGCCCGGGGAAACUCGGAUUAAUACUCCAUAACACAGGGAUCCCGCAUGGGAAUAUUGUUAAAGCUACGGCGGUUGAAGAUGGGCAUGCGUUCGAUUAGCUAGUUGGUGUAGGUAACGGCUCACCAAGGCUACGAUCGAUAGGGGGUCUGAGAGGAUGAUCCCCCACACUGGUACUGAGAUACGGACCAGACUCCUACGGGAGGCAGCAGUAGGGAACUAUUGGGUCC
rnacentral:rRNA from 1 species